rnacentral:rRNA from 1 species
UACGUAGGGGGCAAGCGUUGUCCGGAAUCAUUGGGCGUAAAGCGCGUGUAGGCGGCCCGAUAAGUCCGCUGUGAAAGUCCAGGGCUCAACCCUGGAAUGCCGGUGGAUACUGUCGGGCUCGAGUCCGGAAGAGGCGAGUGGAAUUCCUGGUGUAGCGGUGAAAUGCGCAGAUAUCAGGAGGAACACCAAUGGCGAAGGCAGCUCGCUGGGACGGUACUGACGCUGAGGCACGAAGGUCAGGGGAGCAAACGGG